CGGUUCCGGUCGGCUGAAAAGGGAACGCGGUGAGGGCCCCGGUGCAAGACGGGUCUCAAUUCCGCGACUGCCCCCGCAACUGUGAGCGGAGAGCGACCCCGACGAACGCCACUGAGCCCACGGGCUCGGGAAGGAUCGGGAAAGCUGUGACCCGCAAGUCAGGAGACCUGCCAUCUC
rnacentral:ncRNA from 1 species